rnacentral:rRNA from 1 species
UACAUAGGGGGCAAGCGUUGUCCGGAAUGACUGGGUGUAAAGGGUGCGUAGGCGGCUUUUCAAGUUAAAAGUGAAAGCCCGGGGCUCAACUCCGGAACUGCUUUUAAUACUGGAUUGCUUGAGUGUGGGAGAGGUAAGUGGAACUCCUAGUGUAGCGGUGGAAUGCGUAGAUAUUAGGAAGAACAUCAGAGGCGAAGGCGACUUACUGGAACAUUACUGACGCUGAGACACGAAAGCGUGGGGAGCAAAC